CAACCCUCAAGCUCUGCUUGGUGUUGGGCCCCGCCGCCCCGGCGGGCCCUAAAAUCAGUGGCGGUGCCGUCCGGCUCCGAGCGUAGUAAUUCUUCUCGCUCUGGAGGUCCGGGUGUGUGCUCGCCAGCAACCCCCAAUUUAUCAAA
rnacentral:misc_RNA from 1 species